AAGCGUGAAGGAUAACGUUGCGCCAGCAACGGCCCGUAGGGCGAGCGAAGCGAGUCAUCCUGCACGACCCACCA
rnacentral:sRNA from 1 species